GACCCGAUCAUCCAGCUCAGAUACAGGGGUGAAAGCUUUGUGAGUGUUGUGCAUUAGCUUUUCUGCUAGUAAAUGAGGCCCUGCAAAAGAGGCCUGUCUGGACUUGAUACUCUGGUUGAGGGACUGUGAUGGGGUAUACACCACAAUGGCCCUGUGAGGGUAAAUUAGGCCUAAUUAACUGCCCAGGCUGCAUGUGGAGGCAGGGAGCAGGGAUUAAUUAGACUCAAGGCUGAGCUGGGCAGGGACAGGCGGGACUUAUAAACCAGGAAGCUGGCAACAGAUGCUGCAGGGAAGGGGUCUACAGUCACUCCCUAGGAGAAGGGAGAGGUGUCUGGGGCUAGAGGCAAGUAGCCUAUGGCUACUCCCUGGGAGGGAAGAGUUUGGACUGGCAAACAUAGAGAAGGGGGAGAACCAGAGAGGUAAACAAGGCUCAGGGAAAAGAGCAACAAGCUGGAACCCGGCACAGCAUUUGAGGCAGGGGAUGCGAGUGGCUUGACAACUACAGACAAGUGCAUAUGUGACGGAGACAAAGCUGCAAUCUAAGAGGUUUGCUCAGGAAGCAUCCAGCAGGCCAGAUCCUCAGCUCCACUGAAAUCAAGGCCGGUUUACACCGUCUGCUGGUCUGGUGCCAAGGGGUUAAUGAAAUAGUAACCUGGACACUGGGGACCCGGGGCAGGGUGACCCUCAGGGAGUCUGAGAAGCAAAGUUCUGGCAAUGUGGGGCCAUGCCCAGCAGAGCUGAGGAUUCCAGCACAGACAGGAAGGAUGCAGGGACCAGGAGAACAUUGGGGCUGUGACAACAUAGCCAAUAGGUGAAGAGGAGGGAAAAGAAGAGUCGCAUAGAGUCUCAAGUAGGAAUUACACUAAAUGAAGCAAAUAGACCAAGCCUAGAGAUCCUGAUUAUUAAAAUGACUUCCUGAGAUGCUGCACCUCAAGUCAGGGGAUGGGACAAAGUUGGGUGACCUUCUCCCUGUGAAAUGUAUUAGUGUUAUCAGAGCUCUGCUAAAUAGCGUCCUCAGGCCAAAAUGUUUCCAGUUACUCUUAUUUAUUAGUACUGCAGUAGCCUAGAGGCUGUGCCCCAGAUCAAGGCUGUACGCACACAGUAAGAGACAUCCCCUGCCACAAAGAGUUUACAAGGUAAGAAGGCAGAUAAUGGGUGGGAGAAAGGAGAGAUUAUCAUCCCCAUUUUACAGAUGAGCAAGUGAGGCACAGAAAGACUAAGGACUUAUCUACACUAUUGCUUAAUUCAUGCAAACCAGGAUGUAAAUGUACCCUGCACUAGCUGGCUGCGCACUAGGAAUCCAUGUGGACCCUGCUGAUGCACACUAACCAGUUCCCUAGUAUGCUUUGAUUUGCCCCACUUUAAAAUGGGAGUAGCAAGGCAGGGUAUGAAUUUGCAGUACACUAGUUGCUCUGCACUAACUCCUCCUGUGGACGCUCAUUGCACACUAGAAGUGCCUUUGUCUGCUUUAGCAUAAUGCUCUUUAAAGUGUGCAGAGCUAAACUCCUUGAGGGCACUUCUAAUGCACGGUAAGAACCCUAGCUGAGACCCAAGGAGGCCUGAUUGUCAGGGUGUGGAUGCUCCACGCUUUCUGCAAAUCAGCCCCUGUAAUAGGUCUCAUAGGGCACCAAAAAUCACUAGCUGCUUUUGGAAAUCUUGGUCUAAGUGAGUUGCCCAAGAUCACCCACAAAGUCUGUGGCAGGGCCAGGACCUGACUGCAGACCUCCUGAGGCCCUGUCCAAUACCUGAACCACUAGUCCCUCCUUCCAUCAAUGCUGUUAGGGAUUUGGGAAAGGUGAUAGCUGCUGAAGCUGAACAUAAAUACAGGUGCUGCAUGGCUUAUUAUAGUCUUUUUUGAAAUUGCUUUGUAAAAAGCUUCACAUCACAAGAAUACUCUGACCCUACCACCAGGAAAAAUGCAAGGGGAAUCUGUAUCGAGCCAGAGCAAUUUAAUUUCUGUCUAAGGAUAUUAUCUUUCCAAAAGGCUCCACUUCCAGUUAUUUCCUGAAGUGCAGAUUAAA